AGAGUUUGAUCCUGGCUCAGAUUGAACGCUGGUGGCAGGCGUAAUACAUGCAAGUCGAGCGGAAAAGAUGAGAGCUUGCUAUCAGGCGACGAGCGGCGGAGGGGUGAGUAAUACUUAGGAAUCUACCUAGUAGUGGGGGAUAGCUCGGGGAAACUCGUAUUAAUACCGCAUACAACUUACGGGACAAGGGGGGGAGCUUGUUGCUCUCGCUGUUAGAGGAGCCUAAGUCGGAUUACCUAGAUGGGGGGGUAAAGGGCUACCAUGGCGCCAAUAUGUAGCUGGUCUGAGAGGAUGAUCAGCCACACCGGGACUGAGACACAGCCCGCACACCUACAGGGGGCAGCACUGGGGAAAAUUGGACAAUGGGGGCAACCCUGAUCCACCCAUGCCCCGUGUGUGGAAAAGGCCUUUUCGUUGUAAAGCACUCUAAGCAUUGGAAAAAACUCUUCGGUCAAUACCCGGAGACAAUGACAUUAGCUGCAGAAUAAGCACCGGCUAACUCUGUGCCAGCAGCCGCGGUAAUACAGAGGGUGCAAGCGUGAAUCGAGAAUUACUGGGCGUAAAGCGAGCGUAGGUGUCUGGAUAAUUCAGAUGUGAAAGCCCCGGGCUUAACCUGGGAACUGCAUCUGAUACUGUCAGGCUAGAGUAGGUGAGAGGAAGGUAGAAUUCCAGGUGUAGCGGUGAAAUGCGUAGAGAUCUGGAGGACUACCGAUGCGGAAGGCAGCCUUUGGGCAUCAUACUGACAUUGAGGUUGGAAAGCGUGGGUAGCAAACAGGAUUAGAUACCCUGGUAGUCCACCCCGUAAACGAUGUCUACUAGUCGUUGGGUCCCUUGAGGACUUAGUGUCGCAGCUAACGCAAUAAGUAGACCGCCUGGGGAGUACGGCCGCAAGGUUAAAACUCAAAUGAAAUGACGGGGGCCCGCACAAGCGGUGGAGCAUGUGGAUUAAUUCGAUGCAACGCGAAGAACCUUACCUAGUCUUGACAUAUCUAGAAUCGUGCAGAGAUGCGUGAGUGCCUUCGGCAAUUAGAAUCCAGGUGCUGCAUGUCUGUCGUCAGCUGGUGUCUUGAGAUGUUGGGUUAAGUCCCGCAACGAGCCCAACCUUUGUCUUUAGUUACAACCGGUUAAGCCGGGAACUCUAAGGAUACUGCCAGUGACAAAUUGGAGGAAGGCGGGGACGACGUCAAGUCAUCAUGGCCCUUACGACCAGGGUUACACACGUGCUCCAAUGGUAGGUACAGAGGGCAGAUUCACAGGGAUGGGAUGGGAUUCUCAAAAAGCCUUUUGUAGUCCAGAUUGGAUUCUGCAACUCGACUCCAUGAAGUGGGAAUCGUUGGUAAUCGCGGUUCAGAACGCCGCGGUGAAUACGUUCCCGGGCCUUGUACACACCGCCCGUCACACCAUGGAAGUCGAUUACACCAGAAGUGGAUAGCUUAACCUUCGGGGAGGCGUUCACCACGGUGUGGUUGAUGACUGGGGUGAAGUCGUAACAAGGUAACC
rnacentral:rRNA from 1 species